UCCUAAACAUAAACACACACGGUAUUACCUUACCCUAAUCUCUUAAACACACAACAAGCCACCAUUAAACCAAUUCUCAUCCGUCUCUGUUUAUCUCUUCACCCUCACGACGUUAGGUGUUCUUCCCUGACUCCGACAACAUCACACACAAGCAGCGCACCACCACCUGUCUCCACCAAAGAUGCAAUCGAUGCCCUGGAAGUCCACCUUUUAUGUCACACACAAGUAGCCCUAACCCUAUCUCGUCGCCACGAUCAACCACGAUCAACGAUUUGGGGGAACAACAAGUAAAUUUCAUUCGGGUUUGGAGCUUUUAGUUCUUAUUCUCGAAGAUCUCUCCGGUCGGCCGUUAGUUCAUCAUCUGCAACCAAAUUUCCAGCAAUGGAAGGGGCCACGAUGGGCCCAUCUGAAGCUUCGGUGACGAUGUACAACCUCAAAGAUGCAUACAAUUUCUAGGAUGUAUUAAACACUUCCCCUAUUUGGAAGGAUCGAAUUUUUCAUGCUCUUGCUGCUCUCUAUGGCAUCGUUUCCAUCGCUAUGUUGUUGAGUUUCCAUUUACUUCGUUGAUACAAUACGUUUUUGUACUGUACUGUCUCCAAUCUUAUGUUUCUAGGGUUUCUAUUUGAACCUAACGAGCUUUUAGGGAUAUAACAUGUGAGGUAUUUCCAGUGUGUGCAUGUAGACUAUAGCUUGGAUUAGAUGCAUCCCAUAUUCGUACAAAUUGAUCAAGGGAAGUGGUUCUAAACUGGGUGGAAUUUGGUCUGAAACGAAUAUCAGUAAUUAAGAACUGAUGUUCUUCAGGGGUGGUCUCUGUUUGUAGGUGUAGGGUAUCCAUUUUCCAUAGAACUGCCUUUUUUCAUGGCCAACACUAGCUAGCAACUUCCCAUAUGAAGAAAAAUGACAACACAAGACCUUUUUUCUUGUCCGUAUACAACUAACUUCCCCAAAGGAAAAACCCUUAGAAGAAUAAGACCUUUGUCUUGUGUUGUGUCAUUGCACCAUAAACUUGUCUUUCAUCUCCUCCUUCGUGUUGCAAAAAGGAUUCCACAUUAUUAUCCAUGGAAACAUCCCCAAAAUGUUCAAUGUCAUCAAGCUGAUUUGUUGAGGAGGCAACGACAGUUGUUCCCUGAUCAGAAGAAGCAUACAUGACGAUGGUUUUGGGUAGAUGGUGGAGACUGGUAGUAGUUGUUGUUAUUCCAUCAUUAGUUCCUGCCCAUGGUGUGUGAGUUGAUGUUGGGGAGCUUGGUGAAGGGCCUGUUGUAUUCCCUGUGUUACUGUUGUUGGCUGCCCCAGAAGAAGAAUGUUGAAACAGUCUCAAAUUACGAUGAAGUAAAGGAUGUUAUUACAGAAAAGCGUGGAUCGUUAAGAGAUGAACCUACACAUGAAGAAUAUCCUCUUAUUUAUCAUUUUGAUGUUGCUGCUAUGUAUCCCAAUAUUAUAUUAACAAACAGACUUCAAGUAUACACAUCAAUCAAAUUUUUAGAAAUUUAAAUAAAGGACAGUUUGCUAGCCUAUUACUCACAAUUUACCAUUUAAAAAAGCUGAUAUUUUACCUAACAAAUACUGAUAUGUCAUCUUAGCCACCAUCAAUAGUUACAGAUGAGGUGUGCAUUGCAUGUGAUUUCAAUCACCCUGGGAAAACUUGUCUUAGGAAACUUGAAUGGAAGUGGCAUGGAGAGACAUAAACAACAAAUAGAAGUGAUUACUAUAAUUUGAAGAGGCAAAUUCAAUCCAUAGUUGUUGCCGUUGAUGGAUUCAAAUCAAAGUCUCUCCUUGAUCAGCCUAAAGUGGAUCAACAACUGAAGCUGAAAGAACGUUUACAGAAAUAUUGCCAAAAGGCGUAUAAACGAGUGCUUGAGAAGCAACUCCUGAAACUAGAGAAGCAAGAGUUACAAGUAACAUGCACUUGUUUGAUGCAGAUGGCAUGAAAAAGAAGUAUGACACCCCUGAACAAAUUUGGGUUUUGGGACGAUUGGAUCAUUGAUUUGGAAUCGGGUUGACUGCUUCAUUGCAUUGUAUUUCGUGACACGAAUUCAGGAGAUCUAAUCACCAUCAACGCCUGAGCUGAGAUCUGUAGAAACUUCAAGUGAUCCUCAAGUUACAUUUAAACUCUACCUAGUGGAAGUUACUCCAUAUAAAGAACCAACAUACAAUCUCUUCCAAAAUGAACAACUUCCCAUUGUUUCCGAGGGAAAAUCAGAAGGAAUGACGAAUUCCAAAGAGGAGUAGAUUGUCCAGUUCUCAAGACUCUUCAAGAGCCAUGUGGGAUUUGAUACAAAUCUCUAUUUAGAUCUUCAUGAACUCGGAAUGGAGAUUUAUUCAGAAGCAAUGGAAGAUACAAUCACAACAAAAAGCUCCUAGAACCUUUUCGACAUAGCUGGAUCAAAAUUCCAAGAAAUGUCCGCUUUAGCUUUGUUCAACCUAGGUAACGUCCACAUGAACAAAGCAAGAAAAUCGAUUGUCAUUAUAGAAGAUGAUAACACUAUCAAAGAAUCAGUAUCAGAACAAGUGAAAAUCGGAUUCGAAUUCUCCCAAAAAGAAUACGAAAAAACAGAGGAAAGAUAUGAACAGUCAGCACGUCAGACCUGAUUUCUACGAAGGACACCUGAGAGAUAUCUUCUGUUUGAAUCUUGCAUAAUCUCGGAAUCAAAUCGAACGAACUAGUAGAGCAUAGAAAAUCUUUAACAACCGAUUAAUUUUGAUGAAUGUGCAUAUUUUGCUCUUUUCUCUGAUUAUGACCUAAUAAGCUUAGAAAAGGCAAGUAAACAGGAGAAUUGGAUGCUUGUAAUUGAUGACUAGAUGAAAGCCAUACUGAAACCUGUGUGAUAAAAAUCAAUUCUAAAAAACACAACCUCUUUGUUUCA